rnacentral:rRNA from 1 species
GAACUAAGCCAUGCGAGUCAUUGUAGCAAUACAAGGCAGACGGCUCAGUAACGCGUAGUCAAUCUACCCUAUGGACGGGAAUAACCUCGGGAAACUGAGAAUAAUGCCCGAUAGAACAUUAUACCUGGAACGGUUUAUGUUUCAAAUGAUUUAUCGCCGUAGGAUGGGACUGCGGCCUAUCAGUUUGUUGGUGAGGUAAUGGCCCACCAAGACUAUUACAGGUACGGGCUCUGAGAGGAGUAGCCCGGAGAUGGGUACUGAGACACGGACCCAGGCCCUAUGGGGCGCAGCAGGCGAGAAAACUUUGCAAUGUGCGAAAGCACGACAAGGUUAAUCCGAGUGGUUUCUGCUAAAGAAACCUUUUGCUAGUCCUAGAAACACUAGUGAAUAAGGGGUGGGCAAGUUCUGGUGUCAGCCGCCGCGGUAAAACCAGCACCUCAAGUGGUCAGGAUGAUUAUUGGGCCUAAAGCAUCCGUAGCCCGUUUUGUAAGUUUUCGGUUAAAUCCAUACGCUCAACGUAUGGGCUGCCGGGAAUACUGCAUAACUAGGAAGUGGGAGAGGUAGACGGUACUCGGUAGGAAGGGGUAAAAUCCUUUGAUCUAUUGAUGACCACCUGUGGCGAAGGCGGUCUACCAGAACACGUUCGACGGUGAGGGAUGAAAGCUGGGGGAGCAAACCGGAUUAGAUACCCGGGUAGUCCCAGCUGUAAACUAUGCAAACUCAGUGAUGCAUUGGCUUGUGGCCAAUGCAGUGCUGCAGGGAAGCCGUUAAGUUUGCCGCCUGGGAAGUACGUACGCAAGUAUGAAACUUAAAGGAAUUGGCGGGGGAGCACCACAAGGGGUGAAGCCUGCGGUUCAAUUGGAG